rnacentral:rRNA from 1 species
GUGAACGCUGGCGGUAGGCCUAACACAUGCAAGUCGCACGGCAGCACAGUAAGAGCUUGCUCUUACGGGUGGCGAGUGGCGGACGGGUGAGGAAUACAUCGGAAUCUACUUUUUCGUGGGGGAUAACGUAGGGAAACUUACGCUAAUACCGCAUACGACCUACGGGUGAAAGCAGGGGAUCUUCGGACCUUGCGCGAUUGAAUGAGCCGAUGUCGGAUUAGCUAGUUGGCGGGGUAAAGGCCCACCAAGGCGACGAUCCGUAGCUGGUCUGAGAGGAUGAUCAGCCACACUGGAACUGAGACACGGUCCAGACUCCUACGGGAGGCAGCAGUGGGGAAUAUUGGACAAUGGGCGCAAGCCUGAUCCAGCCAUACCGCGUGGGUGAAGAAGGCCUUCGGGUUGUAAAGCCCUUUUGUUGGGAAAGAAAAGCAGCAGGUUAAUACCCCGCUGUUCUGGCGGUACCCAAAGAAUAAGCACCGGCUAACUUCGUG